CGUAGCUUUACAGAGCCCAGUUAGCGGUCUUGCCUGACAAUUGAGCCCAGCCAGCCGCUUCAGGUGACCUCAGCGAUUUACUGGUGGUGUCCUCACCAGAACUCAGAGCUCAGCAAAACAGCCCUGACGAACUGCAGGGCCGUGGCAGUGUAUCCUGCCCAAUUGUGGACCCUGAGACCCCAACCCUGAUCCUUAUCCAAUUGCAGACCCUGGCAACAGGUCACCCACUGGGCAAAGACGGGUCAGCUGGCCCUCCUGAAACUCUGAACCCACCAGGCAGCCCCAGCCCCCUCCAGAAUGGAUUCCAAGAGAGGGAACUGGCUCACUAUGGACACCACCAACUGAUGUGCCCAGAAUUGUUGGCUGGCUGAUGUUGGCUUGCACCCUCAGGAGUUUCCAGGUGAAAUCUGAAAUUGGCCCCAUACAUGGAGGACAAGAAGAGACUGAAAAAAGAGGCAGACCACUCCAGAUUGACAAGAUCAAAGCAACAUAUCCAGUAUAUGACUAGAAGAGACCUGGGAAGAUGGAAAUGCCACAAGAAGGAGGACACAAGAGUCCCUAAGUCUCCAUAUAAAGGUGCUUGGCAAUUCCCUAUUUGACUGUGUAUAUAUAUGAUGACAUCUCAUUUUGAAUAACAACCAAAAUUUCACGUGG